rnacentral:lncRNA from 1 species
UAAAAGAGAGGAGAUUGUCAUUGGUUUGAUGAUAGGAGGGUGAAAUAGGAGGGACUUAGGGAGUGAUUAAGUCCUUGAGGUUUCUUGAUGAUUAUCCCUGCUUUUCUUACAGGCAGUUUGUACAACUAUUCCUCUAUUAGAAGGGUUUACUAGCAUUUUUCAACAGCAACAAAUACUCUAGGCUAGAGAGGGAGUCUUUGCGUCUGUUCUCUGCAAGAACUCUUCAGCUUGGAAACCAGCUCUCCACCCUUACCUGGAGCCAGACUGAGAAAGAACAGACCUCAUCAUUGUACUGAAGAGAGCAAAUCUGCAUACAGCCAAGUCUUAGAUGAGGGACCAAAAUUCUGCUCUGCUUUCCAGACUCCUGCUGUUCUGAAAACCAACAAAAUAUAUGCAUUGGCAAAGAGCCAUGCCCAGAGCCUGGCUGCUCUGCAUUACUUGCUAUCAUCUGAAGGCUCAAAUGGCCCUGCCAUCACCUCCUCAUGCCUUGCAGAAAAUAGCAUGCAGUGCACUGGAAUGGCUAUUCUAAAAAUGAGGCGUUAUAAAGAGUUGAUAAUGGUUGAUGCUAUUGCUCGUGUAGCUAGUGUUGUAAGGUAAAAGGAGCAAUUAGCUCUCUUCUUCAGGGCUUGCAUCUAUUCGCAGAGAGAAGGCACAAAAAAAUGCCAUAUUCACCAGGUCAACCAUGGAUUGCUUCAGUUCUCCAAUAUAUCUGGCACUGGAGUGCACUGAAGAUCACUUGUAACACUAAAUGGCCCGGAGAUGUCUUCCUCUGAUGGCUUGCUGUGACCCAGCUGACCCUCGCCCAGCCAAGAAGGUGUGGGUGAGCUUGAUGUGAAGAAAUCAGUGAUGUUGUUGACUCAUACAGACUGUGUGAGCUACCUGGGGCUUUCUUGCUGUCUUGUACCUGCUUCAGCUGCUUCUACGGGGCGGUGCUACCCAUUUAUAGCUCUAAUGGGGUAGUUUUCAGCAUAGACAAAAGUUUAAGAAGGUGAUGGUGAUCUGAGGUUCUUGGUUACAAGACAUCUUACACCUAUGUAUCUUAGGUCCAUGUGUUUGCUGCCUUAAAAUCAGGCCAGCACAAGAUGUCUCAAGUCAAGUAUGCACAAUAAGCAAGCCUUUUGGAGAAGCACCAUCAGUCAUGGCUCCUUGUUGCAUCCAUUCAAACAAGGAGCAUCACGCUGCCUGGAGAGGCUAGGAAGGCACUCUCCUUCCCCACGAGGCAUGGGCUGGCCUGACCUUCCCAGAUUGCCAUUACCCACAUUAUCUGGUUUGUGUGUGUGUAGUUAGACACUGCUUUCACCACCAGGAAACUGAACUUUGGCAGAACCUAGGCUCCUUCAGUGUACUUGUGAGUAGCUCCGACCCUUCAGGAGCACACAUGAUGCUGAUUUCUCAUUGUCUCUGGCACCUCACCACCUGCUCCCUUUUGGGUUUCUCCACCUGGCCCUGGUGAUUCACUGCACAGGAGGGUCUCAGGAGGCCCUGUAACUCCUUCCCCUAAGACUCUUUUAAGGUCAUGAAGAGAGGACAUCCUGAGGGGUGGGGGAUAUUUGGUUGUGAAUCAGGGCUAACACAGACCUAGCUUGCUGCUACCUCACAGGCAUAAGGUUUAUGCCAUCCUGGGGGACAAGAUUGGAAAGGGUACAAAUGUGCACCAUCCAAGCAUGACACCAGCCUACUCUUAAGCAGUCUCCUCAGAGUGUCCUCAUAACCUUGUUACUGGCCGGUGCUGUAGGGACCAUGUGUUUGGAGAAUCGAGUGGGGCCCUUUCCUGCCUGGCAAUAAAAUCUAUUCUAAUUACA